AGGACUAACGCUGGCGGCGUGCCUAACACAUGCAAGUCGAACGAGAGUAGCAAUACUCUAGUGGCAGACGGGUGAGUAACACGUGGUCAACCUACCUCUAUGUGGGGGAUAACUAGCCGAAAGGUUAGCUAAUACCGCAUACGAUCGUCGAGCGGCAUCGCUUGACGAUGAAAGGAGCAAUCCGCAGAGAGACGGGACCGCGUCCCAUUAGCUAGUUGGUGGGGUAAUGGCCUACCAAGGCGACGAUGGGUAGCUGGCUUGAGAGAGCGACCAGCCACACUGGGACUGAGACACGGCCCAGACUCCUACGGGAGGCAGCAGUGAGGAAUUUUCCGCAAUGGGCGAAAGCCUGACGGAGCGACGCCGCGUGUGGGAAGAAGGCCUUCGGGUCGUAAACCACUGUCGAAGGGGAAGAUAUUGACGGUACCCUUGGAGGAAGCCCCGGCUAACUACGUGCUAGCAGCCGC
rnacentral:rRNA from 1 species